rnacentral:rRNA from 1 species
CCUACGGGUGACUGCAGUGAGGAAUAUUGGUCAAUGGACGAGAGUCUGAACCAGCCAAGUAGCGUGAAGGAUGACUGCCCUAUGGGUUGUAAACUUCUUUUAUAUGGGAAUAAAACGUUCCACGUGUGGGAUUUUGUAUGUACCAUAUGAAUAAGGAUCGGCUAACUCCGUGCCAGCAGCCGCGGUAAUACAGAGGAUCCGAGCGUUAUCCGGAUUUAUUGGGUUUAAAGGGAGCGUAGGUGGAUUGUUAAGUCAGUUGUGAAAGUUUGCGGCUCAACCGUAAAAUUGCAGUUGAAACUGGCAGUCUUGAGUACAGUAGAGGUGGGCGGAAUUCGUGGUGUAGCGGUGAAAUGCUUAGAUAUCACGAAGAACUCCGAUUGCGAAGGCAGUUCACUGGACUGCAACUGACACUGAGGCUCGAAAGUGUGGGUAUCAAACAGGAUUAGAUACCCGUGUAGUC